rnacentral:lncRNA from 1 species
CAACUAUCCUGAGCUGCUGUUCAUGAUUCAGGUUGGCAUCAAUCAAAUUGGAAGCACAUGAAUUAUACAUUAUUGUUUCUGAGCCACAGUUAUCUUCUACAGCACAUCUUUUGAGUAAAGACAUGCAAGUAGUACUGAAACGACUGCAAUGUGAUAAUCACGGAGACUGGACUGGUUCAACAUCCAGAUGUUUCGAUUUUUUUGAUAAAUCAAUCUCCAAGGUUCAGCUCAUUCACAGUGUGAGGCUACUUACCUGUUCAAAGUACAUCACUUUUGUCCUCCAGUUUUCAUAUUGGCUUCCUGUCAAGAUAAGACAUCAGAAAGAAAAUAACACAACUUUUCUAAAGGUCAGUGGGACAUCACAGAAAAAUGAUGUAUCAAGACCUUCGGUUAAUCAAAUUAAUGAUGUAAACUCUAUGAAGCAAAGACAUUGUGUUGUUCACAGCUGUAUCUACAAAGCCUGGAUUAGUGGUUGGGUGCACGAUGAUUAGGAACAUCCUGUCUGAUGCACUGACAUUUGGGCAGUAAGCCAAAUAAUGAGGAGAAGUGAGCCAUGCUAAUACCUAGAAGGACGGCUUUCCAGGAGAAGGGAACACUAAGGGUAAAAGCCUGAGGCAGCACAAAGGA